AUGCAGUCGAGCGGUAGCACAGAGAGCUUGCUCUCGGGUGACGAGCGGCGGACGGGUGAGUAAUGUCUGGGAAACUGCCUGAUGGAGGGGGAUAACUACUGGAAACGGUAGCUAAUACCGCAUAAUGUCGCAAGACCAAAGUGGGGGACCUUCGGGCCUCAUGCCAUCAGAUGUGCCCAGAUGGGAUUAGCUAGUAGGUGGGGUAACGGCUCACCUAGGCGACGAUCCCUAGCUGGUCUGAGAGGAUGACCAGCCACACUGGAACUGAGACACGGUCCAGACUCCUACGGGAGGCAGCAGUGGGGAAUAUUGCACAAUGGGCGCAAGCCUGAUGCAGCCAUGCCGCGUGUGUGAAGAAGGCCUUCGGGUUGUAAAGCACUUUCAGCGGGGAGGAAGGCGGUGAGGUUAAUAACCUUGGCGAUUGACGUUACCCGCAGAAGAAGCACCGGCUAACUCCGUGCCAGCAGCCGCGGUAAUACGGAGGGUGCAAGCGUUAAUCGGAAUUACUGGGCGUAAAGCGCACGCAGGCGGUCUGUCAAGUCGGAUGUGAAAUCCCCGGGCUCAACCUGGGAACUGCAUUCGAAACUGGCAGGCUAGAGUCUUGUAGAGGGGGGUAGAAUUCCAGGUGUAGCGGUGAAAUGCGUAGAGAUCUGGAGGAAUACCGGUGGCGAAGGCGGCCCCCUGGACAAAGACUGACGCUCAGGUGCGAAAGCGUGGGGAGCAAACAGGAUUAGAUACCCUGGUAGUCCACGCCGUAAACGAUGUCGAUUUGGAGGUUGUGCCCUUGAGGCGUGGCUUCCGGAGCUAACGCGUUAAAUCGACCGCCUGGGGAGUACGGCCGCAAGGUUAAAACUCAAAUGAAUUGACGGGGGCCCGCACAAGCGGUGGAGCAUGUGGUUUAAUUCGAUGCAACGCGAAGAACCUUACCUGGUCUUGACAUCCACAGAACUUUCCAGAGAUGGAUUGGUGCCUUCGGGAACUGUGAGACAGGUGCUGCAUGGCUGUCGUCAGCUCGUGUUGUGAAAUGUUGGGUUAAGUCCCGCAACGAGCGCAACCCUUAUCCUUUGUUGCCAGCGGUUCGGCCGGGAACUCAAAGGAGACUGCCAGUGAUAAACUGGAGGAAGGUGGGGAUGACGUCAAGUCAUCAUGGCCCUUACGACCAGGGCUACACACGUGCUACAAUGGCAUAUACAAAGAGAAGCGACCUCGCGAGAGCAAGCGGACCUCAUAAAGUAUGUCGUAGUCCGGAUUGGAGUCUGCAACUCGACUCCAUGAAGUCGGAAUCGCUAGUAAUCGUAGAUCAGAAUGCUACGGUGAAUACGUUCCCGGGCCUUGUACACACCGCCCGUCACACCAUGGGAGUGGGUUGCAAAAGAAGUAGGUAGCUUAACCUUCGGGAGGGCGCUUACCACUUUG
rnacentral:rRNA from 1 species